rnacentral:rRNA from 1 species
CCGCCGGCGACCGGCGCACGGGUGAGUAACACGUAUGCAACCUGGCCGUGACAGAUGGAUAACCGGGAGAAAUCCCGCCUAAUACAACAUAAUGCCGGGAGGGGACAUCCCCUGCCGGUCAAAGGGGGCGACCCCGGUCACGGAUGGGCAUGCGGCGCAUUAGGUGGUUGGUGGGGCAACGGCCCACCAAGCCGACGAUGCGUAGGGGUUCUGAGAGGAAGGUCCCCCACAUUGGAACUGAGACACGGUCCAAACUCCUACGGGAGGCAGCAG